rnacentral:lncRNA from 1 species
AUUAGUUGUAAUGAAUAUUCGAGGAUGAUUUUUAAGAGAGUAUAGGUGCCACAAAAUGUAUGUAUGAAUAUUGCACGAAUACUUUUGAAUUGGAAUGUUUGGAUGAUAACCUUUGAAUCGAAGCUUCUUUUUUUUGUCGUGUUUCAGGUUGUAGCCCCUUGCGAAUGACGACAAAGUGAAUGGCGGUAGAAUCGGUUGUACUUAGUUUAGCUCGUGCUUGUAACUUGUUGUAAUAAUUUUUCUUCUUUAUUUUGGACUGUGACUUGGGGUGCAGAGAUUUUUUGGUCCCAAAAAACCCUCCUCCCCCCAUUUCUCCACUUGCUUGUCCAUUUAAAUGAAGAAAAGGGGCUGCCACCUCCCCUCUCCCCCCUAGUUAACUCGUCACGGUGUUUUGUCACUAAAUGCUUGUCCAUUUAAAUGAAGAAAAGGGGCUGCCACCUCCCCUCUCCUCCAAUGAAACUUUGCAACGUUU